rnacentral:rRNA from 1 species
AUUGAACGCUGGCGGCAGGCCUAACACAUGCAAGUCGAACGGUAACAGAAAGCAGCUUGCUGCUUUGCUGACGAGUGGCGGACGGGUGAGUAAUGUCUGGGAAACUGCCUGAUGGAGGGGGAUAACUACUGGAAACGGUAGCUAAUACCGCAUAACGUCGCAAGACCAAAGAGGGGGACCUUCGGGCCUCUUGCCAUCGGAUGUGCCCAGAUGGGAUUAGCUAGUAGGUGGGGUAACGGCUCACCUAGGCGACGAUCCCUAGCUGGUCUGAGAGGAUGACCAGCCACACUGGAACUGAGACACGGUCCAGACUCCUACGGGAGGCAGCAGUGGGGAAUAUUGCACGAUGGGCGCAAGCCUGAUGCAGCCAUGCCGCGUGUAUGAAGAAGGCCUUCGGGUUGUAAAGUACUUUCAGCGGGGAGGAAGGGAGUAAAGUUAAUACCUUUGCUCAUUGACGUUACCCGCAGAAGAAGCACCGGCUAACUCCGUG